GACUCGAUGGCGGAUGGUCCGCGUCUGCGCUUGUUAGAUAUUGUCAAGAAUUAUUUGAGCAAACAAUGCCUGUUCGAUUCGGGCUCGAGUCA